rnacentral:rRNA from 1 species
AAGCGGUGGAGGAUGUGGCUUAAUUCGAGGCUACGCGAAGAACCUUAUCCUAGUCUUGACAUGCUUAGGAACCCUCUCGAAAGAGAGGGGUGCCCGCAAGGGAGCCUUUGCACAGGUGCUGCAUGGCUGUCGUCAGCUCGUGUCGUGAGAUGUCGGGUUAAGUCCCUUAACGAGCGAAACCCUUGUCCUUAGUUACCAGCGGGUCAUGCCGGGAACUCUAAGGAGACUGCCGGUGUUAAACCGGAGGAAGGUGGGGAUG